GCCAGGUGCUGUGGCGCACGCCUGUAACCCCAGCAGCUCAGGAGGCUGAGAUAGGAGGCUUGCAGAUUCAAAGCCAGCCUCAGCAAAAGUGAGGUGCUAAUAAGCAUCUCAGUGAAAUCCUGUCUCUA
rnacentral:sRNA from 1 species